rnacentral:rRNA from 1 species
UACAGAGGUCUCAAGCGUUGUUCGGAAUCACUGGGCGUAAAGGGUGCGUAGGCCGCACGGUAAGUCAGAGGUGAAAUCCCGGAGCUCAACUUCGGAAUUGCCUCCGAUACUGCCGUGCUUGAGGACUGGAGAGGAGUCUGGAAUUCACAGUGGAGCAGUGAAAUGCGUAGAUAUUGUGAGGAACACUAGUGGCGAAGGCGAGACUCUGGAUAGUUCCUGACGCUGAGGCACGAAGGCCAGGGGAGCAAACGGG